rnacentral:pre_miRNA from 1 species
AGCUAUUUUGACGGGUUUCGUGACAGACGAGCAUGAAAUAUGUAUUUGUUCGUUGUCGACGAAACCUGCCUGAAAUAGCC